GAUGAACGCUAGCGGCAGGCUUAAUACAUGCAAGUCGAGGGGUAGCAAGAUUGUAGCAAUACAAUUGUUGACGACCGGCAAACGGGUGCGGAACACGUACACAACCUUCCUACAAGUGGGGAAUAGCCCAGAGAAAUUUGGAUUAAUACCCCGUAACAUAGCGAUGUGGCAUCACAUUGCUAUUAUAGCUUCGGCGCUUGUUGAUGGGUGUGCGGCUGAUUAGAUAGUUGGCGGGGUAACGGCCCACCAAGUCUACGGUCAGGAGCUGAUGUGAGAGCAUGAUCAGCCACACGGGCACUGAGACACGGGCCCGACUCCUACGGGAGGCAGCAGUAAGGAAUAUUGGACAAUGGACGCAAGUCUGAUCCAGCCAUGCCGCGUGAAGGAUUAAGGUCCUCUGGAUUGUAAACUUCUUUUAUAAGGGACGAAAAAAGGUCUUUCUAGAUCGUCUGACGGUACCUUAUGAAUAAGCACCGGCUAACUCCGUGCCAGCAGCCGCGGUAACAC
rnacentral:rRNA from 1 species